AUUAUUCGUCGUGCUGUACGUGCAAACAGACGACUGCUUGAAGCCGUGGGCUGCGUCCCAAACCGCGUACUUACCGUCUCUAAAGUAGCCGAGAUACAUGUAUUUCUCCUACUCCAGGCCUAUAGUAGGCAAGUACGCUGUUUGGGACGCAGCCGUGCUCUCUCUCUUUUGCCGUAAAAUGUCGAGCGCUGCCGUGUGUGAACGUGUCCUGUCGCAAAAUGCGGUGAAAACUCCCACACGCCGUUAAUAGUGUGAUUAAGGUGUGUACAUGUCUGUAAUACUCGUCCAUAAUACGACUAAAACAGGAAUACUUCAACUCUCUUAAUACGAUUUGUGUUUACUUCGAGUACGACUUUAAUCGUAUUAAGGUCAUUAAAAAUCGCUGUUUACAUGGUAGUUUCUUAAUCAGUGUAUCGUCUUAAUCGGGUUAAUACUGGACUAUUGUUGUCCAUGUAAACGCACUGAGCGUCGUCAAAAUAAUAGCCGCAACAUAAUAAAUACACACAUAUAGUAUUUAGUGUGUAAUCUGGUGCUUUCAAGCGACACCGUGUUUGUGUAAGGAGAAGGAUUUAUUAGCAGUGAGCAUUUUAUUUCGUGUAUGUCACGUGCGCGCACUCAGUAAAAUGGCGAGCGCUUGCGUCGUCUUCGUCUCCUUUUUCAGCUUCUGCUUCGUCGCUAAUAUACGAGGAGCUCCCCCUGCGCCACCUGUCGGGAGAUGAUCUGCACUCGGAGAGGAAAACGGCUAAACCUUUUGAAUCUGAUUAUUCACACACACACACAUGCACACACGCACUCACACACACACUAUCACAGCUGGAUCAGAGACCAGAAGCUGUCUUUAGCAGAAUGCAAAAAUGAAACUUUACCUGGCUAACUGAAAUAUUCUCAGGUGAAGAGGAUUUAGGCCAUUAGUUAAAAUAAUAUUAUUAAUAAUAAUAAUAUUUUUAUAUAUAUAUAUAAAAGAAGGUGACCAAACUUUUGCACAUAUGUUUGAAUUAUUUAGCAUUUACAAAUAAAUAGCAACUUUGUAUUUGCGACUAAAUCGUAACUAUGCAUUGCAAGUGAAAGACACUUUUCCAUACAUCUACGAUAAAAUGAAUGUUUUAAGCACACUACAUGAUGUCUAAACAGCUCCAGCCUGACGUACCUCUAGACCAGAGAACACCGUGCAGUGUCAUGGUCCUGAUCAAUUCAUAUGUACUAUCGCUCUUCACGGAGUGUUAAGAGGACAAGAGAGAUAUUAUAAUAUGCAUUCCACAUUAUCUGUGAGACACAUACCAAGCAUGGUACCAUUUUUGUAGCACUUGUUGAUCAUGAUUAACGCUAUUAGGAUGAAAGGAGAGAUUACAUAAGGCAAUCAGUAGACAAUCAUUGCAUUGUGAUGCAUAAAGAUUGACUUGUUUGUCAAAAGAAUUGAAAAAAGGAUUACUCUCAUAGCCUGUUUCCCCCAAAAGGGAUCCAUUGUUUCAUUAUUAGAUCAGAUUUUAUAACUUAAAAUAAUAAUAAUAAUAAUUUUUUUUUUAGUGUUGAUGAUUGGGCUAUACGAUUUUUAAUUGUGCAAACCAUUACCUUUAAACUUGAUCUGUGAAUAGUGUAUUAAUGUGCAUGAAUAUUUGAUCAGCCAUUCGGUUUACUCUGCAGCUAAAGUGGCUCUCCGGAAACUGUGCAAACGCAUUCUUUCUGUCUGUGAAAAGGGAUCCUAUUAUUAUUAUUAUUAUUAUUAUUAUUAGUUUUUAAAUGAUGUGCAUGUCUUAAACUUGGCAGAUCUUUAAACUAACCACUUCUUCAUAACUGACCAAAAAAUACACAAAGUGCCACUAAGCCCACAGUAUUUCCAGUAGGCUUCGCCAGGUUUGUGCGAAGGACCUGAUUGUGUACGUGUGGUGCAAACUGUGCUGCUGAGAAUACAAGUCUUCUCCGUUCAUUAUCUUGGAUUACUUUGAUUGACAUAUAAUGCUCAAGCAGAUUUGACUGUUCCAAUCUGUCACUAAUUUCCUGGUACCAGUGCUCUUUUUUUUAAAAAUAUAUUUUAUUUUUUAAAAUAAAGAUUCUUAAAGUGUGAAUGGUUAUAGAGAAAUCUUAAUGUAAUGUAUAAUUACACUAUAUGUAGCUAGAUAUUUUUAUUGUAAAAAUGUACAAUAUAGAGAAUUAAACAUAGCUUAUAAUUGAACAUGUGACAUUUAAAGAUUAAUUACAAAGAGGCAAGCCCGGUUUCUUACCAGGACCCUUUUUCCAUGGAUGGUUUAUGUUGACUUGAUAUAUUUCACAUUCUUCUUGGGUUAUUGUAAUUUUAAAUAAGUUCCCAUGGCUUGCCAAAUGUUCAUGUUGACAUUUUUAGGGUGUGUUUGUAUGAUUUUUCGUGUUAAAUUUGAAAUAAAAACGGUUAUGGGGAAAAA
ensembl:lncRNA